GCAGAAGCACAGACGUCCUCGGCUCUUUGAAGGCUGCGACAAGUUGCUGCAAUUUGGCUUUGAGGACUUGGCGCUGCAGGCUUGGCGCUCGGUGUCUGCUGUCAAGGAUGAGAGCUACAGGCAUAUGCACUGUGAAUCCAGGCACAACAGAUUUGUGUUAGUUCAAGAGACAGCAAGACAGAUCCACGUAUGUGUCUGCCAGCGUGUCAGGGUACAGGUCCUGACCAGAUUGUCACUGAUGAAGAUGGAAACAGAACACAUAAGGAGCUGAAGAAUUCUCUGUCUUGGAAAAUGCAUGGCCAGAAGAAGCUGGUGGACUCAUCCUUCUCCAGGCUGUGUGAUGAGAAUAAUUAUCUGAAUUUCUUUUUGAAGAAUUUUCCUUCUGGUCCAAGACAAGAUGGAAUUUGGUAGCAAGGUAAGUGGGAACUUACUGACCCUAGAGCCUUCUUUUGAAGUGCAACCAAGUCUUCAAAUGACAAAGCAUACAGCCUGCAGAAAUGAGUUAACCUCCC